rnacentral:lncRNA from 1 species
UAUUUUUUAGAAUUCUAUUUUGAUUCACCUACAGGAUUUUUAGAGUAAUCUCUUUGUGUAGCUUUUUUUGUGGUUGCUCUAGGUCUAACGUGACAUACACAUAACUUAUUACAAUCUACUGGUGUCAUCAUUUUACCAGUUAAAGUAUAGCAACUUUAUUCCUUUACUUUCUCCAGUUUAUAAUUAUCUUAAGUAUUUUGUUUACAUACAUUGAGAAAACUAUCAAACAAUGUUUUACUUUUUGCUUUAACCAUCAAACAUAAUUUUAAAAAAAUCAAUAGAAGAGGACAGCCUAUUGUGUUUAUCCAUAUUUUUUGUUCUUUCUUUGUUCUUUCUCAUUCCUGAUGCUCAAAGAUUCCUUCUAUCACUUAUUUCUGUUUGGAGAACUUCCUUCAGCCAUUCUUUAAAUGUUAGUUUGCUAUCACAAGGACAGAAAACCAAACACCCCAUGUUCUCACUCAUAGGUGGGUAUUGAACAAUGAGAACACUUCGACACAGGGCGGGGAACAUCACACCCCGUGAGCCACCGCGCCUGGCCUAUUCUCUUGGCCUGUCAGAGGAUGGAGGGCUGGGGGAGCAAUAGCAUUAGGAGAAAUACCUAAUGUAAAUGACAGGUUGAUGGGUGCAGCAAACCAACAUGGCACAUGUAUACAUAUGUAACAAAUCUGCACGUUGUGCACGUGUACCCUAGAACUUAAAGUAUAAUUUUAAAAAAUGUUAGUUUGCAAGUGAUAAAUUCUGUUAGUGUUCCUGCAUCUAAGGAUGUCUUGAUUUUCCCUUCUUCUCUUUGUUGUUUGUCCUUGGUAAUUUCUAUUUUUGUAUCUUCGAGCUUACUGCUUCUUUUCUCUAUCUCCUCCAUUUUGCUAUUGGGCCCAUCCAUUGAAGUUUUAAAAUUUUGGUUGUUUUCUCAUUCUAAAAUUUCCAUUUGGUUCUUCUUUAUAUCUCCUAUUUUCUUUGUUGAGAUUUUUUGCCCUUCGUUUCA